UGUACCUACCUGUGUGUGUGUGUGUGGUGUCACUGGGGACGGCUGGGACCCCACCUGUACCACACUCAUGGCCAUCACCUGUGGUUCACACCAACCUCAAACUGCCGAGGAUGUUUGGUUUCCAUGAAGGUGCUGGGCCAUGACUGAGAAGCUGUGGCUUGAGCAGUGUGUCCCUUUCACCAGCAGGAGCCUGGGACAGGACCUUCCAGUGGGGCAGUGGAGGCGUGUCAGGUGCUGCACCUGAUUUCUCAGCAACAUAAACCAGAGCCCGGAAGAAAAAUCUGGCUUGAGGAUCUGUGCUGUAUCCCAGCAGCAUGAUUUGGGUCUCAGCAUUUACUGUGAGGGUGGUGAGACACUAGAGCAGGGUACCCAGAGAAACUGUGUGCCCCAUCCCUGGAGGUGUUCAAGGUUAGGUUGGACAGAGCUCUAAGCAACCUGAUCUAGCGAGAGAUGUCCCUGCCCAUAGCAGGGGAGUUGGACUAGAUCAUCCUUGAAGGUGCCUGUCAUUCUGUGGUUCUGUGAUACUUUGCUACAUUAAUUGGAGCUUGUGUUCAUCAGGCUGUAACAGUACUUUGGAGUAAAAAACUGGGUCCUGAUCAUGUGUAAAAUAAAAAAAACAAAACAACUUAGUGCAUCUGGCUCCAGCAGAAACCCCUUACAUGAUGGCUUGUAACAUAGUCUCAGGUAGGUCCCUGCCUCAUAGAGUAGAAAAUGCCUUUAAGGCCUCUUCCCUUUAGGCUCUGCAUCAGAGAUAUGUACGUACUAUGAAACCACCUCAGGACUAAAUUUUUUGGAGUAAUAAUCUGAUGUUGCUCUUGGUAGAAAGGAGUUUGGCAUUUGGGGAUUGUGUAGUGUCAGUCAGUGAAUGCCAGAGCCAGGGCAUCAGGAAUUUUUCCAGCAGGUUCUUCCACUUGGGCCAUAUCCUACUGCACUGACAUAUCUAAAAAAGCCCCAAAACUCUGACGAAUGCUCUUAACCAUCACUUGGUGGAAAUAUUUUUGGGGUAGAGAAAUGAGAGCACUUGUUCCUGCCUCAUUCACCUUGAAUCACUGGGGUCAGGAUGGUAGCUCAGAGGCAGGAUCUGUGCUUCCCCCGUGGGUGGUCUCAGCUAUACAUAUUCAAAUCAAGCACCCAGGCAUGUCACCUCGGUGCAGCAGGAGCUGAGAAAGGCACAGGGGCUUUCCAGCCCUUCAGGCCAUUAUUAGUAAGAGGGUUUGCUUGUGGUGUGUCUUUUGGUUCAAGCUGUGAACUGCCACCAGGCUCUAAAAUCUGCUGGUGAGCCUUGGUAAUAGUAUUGCAAAAAGUUUCCGAGAAGCGUAAUAACUUCCCUAAAUAUAUAUAUAUUUUAUGUCUAAAGAUGCUUGAGGAUUUGUUCAUGCUGAAAGUUUGCUGACCCCAGUAGAGGGGAUUUGUACUCUUGCCACACUUGGGAAGCUCAGGCAGGUAGUGGAUAAGGAUAAGGAAGUGGUUGUUGGGGCUUUGCUUCUCUCUCUGUCAUUUUGGGAUGGUGAAUUUGGGGGCAUAUUUGAGGAUUUGGUGAGUAGGUAGAACAAUUUAUAGCAAUGUGAGUGGCCUGUAUGGUAACUUCAAGAUUGUGCCAGCUAAGCAACUAGAUCAGGGAUUACAGAUCCCAGGGCAUCUGAAGUCAAAAUAGGUUUUUAAAUCACACAGGUAAUUUUAAAAGAGAUAAUUAAGUUUCUUGAGUUCCUCAGUAGUGCCUACAAAUGUUCCUGCAAAUGGCUCAUGAAGCAAUUGCUGUCUAUAACUUCUGCCAGAGGAAAAUGUGCUAUUAAGUGGAAAUUAGCUGCCCAUGUGGCAUUAUCUGUCUUGGAGUCUCAGGGAGUUUUACUGAGAUGUGUUAAUACAGCUGUGCUGAAGGUACUACUCAUCUGCAUGCUCUGAUAACCGUCCUCAUGUGAAAUUAAUCCCUGUGGAGCUGUUUGAGAUCUUGCUGCUCCUGGUUCCCAACCUACAUGGUUGCCAAAAGCUGCUACCCACAGAGGCAGGGCUAGGGAUGAGCUAAUGGGCAUCUGCACCUUAUCCCUUGCUCUGUAUGAGCACAAACCCAUCUUUGCUUACUGGGAGAACUGGGGCACCAGGUGAGGAGCUGAAAUGUGACAUAUCUAUUCUGCCUCCCUUUGCUGGGACAGUGGAGGAUUAAGGGCUGAAGUGCACUGAGGUGGAGGCAGUGACAUGUCAGGUGCUGAAGUUAGGCUUUGAGAGCAGUUUUGCCCUUUGGAAAUGUCUGCUUUUUUGCACUUGACUGGUUGGCAAGGUGGGAGUCAUCACCCCCCCAUGUAGGUCAGCAGUUCAGCUUUUGGUUUAUGCUGCAGCCAGGGGCAAUCUAGUCAACAUUGUCCAUAGGGUUUAAGGUGUGAUGGACCCCUGAUAAAUGGGACAAAUUGCACCUUCAUCUUCCUUGGCUCUGGGGCAGAUUCUUCAUCACCUGCAAAAGCACCCCGUGCCCACUCCUUUGGAUGCAGGUGCCAAGGCUGCAAACACCUUUCUUUGAUGAGAUGUGGCAUGCCCCAGCCAUCUCACUCGGACUAGAUAAAAUAUUUCAGAUGGCUCUAGGCUGGGUGAGAUGAAUCCUACACCUGCUGUAGCAGUGCUCAUGCCCUGGACUGUGAUGGGUUGUCUGGGCAGAGAUGGGGUUAAAGCAACUUCUGUGGGUCCUUCUUGCAGUGAGUCUGACUUCCCAUCCUUUUCUGAAGAAGAUGGUCAUCACAUCAAGGCCAGCUUGGAAAAGGGAAAUCUCCUGUAGGUCACUUGAAAUUCAGCAGUGGCUAAGUCACUGUGUACCCACUGCAUCUUUCACCCAUGGCUAUGAUGGGGAGGCAAAAUAGGACUUGAGGGCAUGGCACAAGAGCAGUGUGGAAUCUUUUCAGGAAUAGUGUUGUUUGAGGCAGUACAGGAACAGUAAGUACUGUCCUUUUAAUCAAGGAUUCAAUAAGUUUUGUGGCAAAGGUUGAUUUCUGUCUUGGCUCAAGGAUUUCAUAAUUGUAACACUUGCCUUCUGGAGAUCCACAGGUCGCAUGAGCAUGGGGAGCACGGGCUGCUGGGCGCUGGGUGAGCAUUCUUACACUGGUCCACAGGGAUGGUUGUGCCAUUGAGCUCUGCCUGUGUCUCUUUCCAGCUCCCAGCACCUUGUCCCUUUUAGAUGAUCCCUGGUACAGGUGUAUGAGGCUGGCUCUGCCAUCUGCACUGGUUGUGGUGGCAGCAGAUUUCCCCCCUGCAAAGGUGGUUCUCCCUGGCUGCUGCAAAGCGUGAGCAGGGAGCUGCUCCAGCUGACCCUGCUACUGCAGCAGAUCUAUAGAUGUGCUAUGAACAAGGAGGAGGGGAAGCACCUGGAGACACAUCUGCAUUGGACCGUGUCACACAGCUGUCCUAAGUGGGCAGCAAGCCCAGUCAGUCGGUCUGCACAGUGCCAGUGUCCUGCCCGUAUGGCCUCACCAGCCUGGCUGCCUGUCCCAGGCAGUGUCAGCCUGUACAGGAGACUAAUGCUUGUUUGGUUGUGUCUUAAAGCCGUGAUUGCUACCAGAUCGCUACCCUGAGCCUCCCCAGCUUCAUUUUUCUCUUUGCAUUUGGAGUUGCAGCAGCCUCAUUUGAGUGAAAACACUCAAGCCAAACCCUGUGCCCCAACGGCUGCUCAUCUGAUAGUGCAGAGCCAGCUCGCAGCAGCUGCUAAAAUAGCAGAACUGAAGUGGGGAAUGAAAAGUGAGAUGGUGAUUAAGACCCAAUUUCCUGCCGUGGCCCCGCAGUGUUCCUGCCGGCAGUGGAGGCAUUGGCAGCAGUGGUGUGAAAUGUCUCAGCCUCCUGCCUUGGGCUGGCUGAGCACUCACACUGCCCUGUGCUGCUUGCUUGUCUCAGUGCUUUGUAGAUGUUGGUUUGGCUGAGCUCAAGGGGAUGAGGAGGAUCCUUUUUAGGAAGGGGGGAAGGGUAGGAAGUCCAUGCAGGCUGGUCCUGGCUGAGUUGGGGUUAGAAGCAGCCGUGGUGAGACCUAGGCCAGCCCUGAAGCAGGCUGAUGUUAAUUGCUUUGUGUUACCUGGAAGACAUGAAAGAGUGCACGGGAUUUGAAAACACUGGGAACACUGGUUCUCUGGAUCUUUUUCUCCUGUCUCUGCCAGUAAUUUUCCUUGGACCCACCAUUUAGGAUUCUGAGAGAAGAAAAUGCAAGAAAGAGGAAUUGCUGCUAAAUUGAUGGUGAAGCUUCCAAGCUGAUGCUGUUUGCUCCAUGGGCAUAUGGGCUGUUCACCUGUCCUACUGUUCGGUCCCUCGUAUACCUAAAUGUAAAAAAGCAAAUGCAUUAGAAUUAGUUUAUCUUUUUGGACUUCUUGCAUCAGAAGUUCAUUCAAGAGAAAACAUGAAAAAUUGAGUGCAAAGAUGAUGCUGAGCUGAUGGCUGUUCCUCUAAGGACACUGUUCCACUUGCACUUACUAACAUGCUCUAUGUAUAUGAGUAUCAAAGGCAGCUUCUGGUUUCUUUCUCACCCUGAAAGUGCAAAUCACUGCUCUCCUGUGUGUGCUCCAACAACUCUUAGGUCUUUGUUAUAGAACCUGACAUGUUUCAGCAGUCCAAACCACAUCAUUGUAAACUGUAUCCUUACUGAUUGGAGCAGUAAUGUGCAGCACAGAGAUGGAACUUCCUUACACUUCUUCAUCCUUUGAAAAAUGGUAGUUGCAAAACCCACUGCAAAGAGCUCAGAACCUCACAGACCAUGGUGUUUGCUCUGGACUUAGUGGAUACCCCAUUUCUUUCUGUGUUUGAAUGUCAGAGCAGCUCCCAUCAUCCACCCCUCUUAAACCCGCCAGAAUCUCUCACUAACUUUUACUCUGCAAAGGUGAGUUACAGCUUAAUUGGGCAGCAUGAGCAACCACUGCUUGAAACUGUUGGCUUUUGCAUUUCCUGGCUUCUCUUGGGGUCACCUGCAUCUUCUCCAAGGUUGCCCCUUUCCCUGGAUUUAUGCAGCACCCAGUGCCACUGAUAUGGCUGGGAAGGCUUCUGUUGUAUGAGGUCACAGAACUGUCCUGCUCAAAUCUGACCAGUUUGAAGGAAAUGGAAAUGGAAAUGGAAAUGGAAAUGGAAAUGGAAAUGGAAAUGGAAAUGUAUUGUUCACAGAACAAAUAGUCAGCACAUGGGAGAGAGUCUCACAGACAGUGGUGCUGUUGAGGAAGAUGUGCUGUUUCACAGCAGCCAAGGUAAUUGCCCUGAAUUGGUAUCCUCUACUGCCACUACUUUCCUCCAGCCUAGGAGUACUCCUCUGCUGGUGUGCAGCCUCAGGCUUGCAUGGCCAACAUGCAGCAGGCAAGGAGGAGGUGAGAGGGGACUGUUGAUCCUGGGUCUGGCAGAGCAUCAUACAUCAUCUUUGCUGUGUGAGGAGGGACAGCUUUUUUUGUAGAGGAAGAUUUCCUGCACUCACAAAGAGACUCGUGUGACAUCCUCUGCCAUGGAGCAGAGGGAUAUUUUAUAUUCUUCUGGUGCCUUUCACACCAGAGAGGAUUCAAAGUGCUUUUAAGACUAUUUUCAUAGUCUUGAGGAAGGGAUGGGCAGUAGGUUUUGCAUGAAAUGUCCUUUCCUGCCAGGUGAACAGCACCCGACUGCGGCAGCUACAGCGCUGGGAGCCAAAGCUUUUCCAAUGUACUGACUUCUGCUUGCCAGCAAAACAGCACCACAGCACAGUGUAAUUUCAGGAGUCUGGAGGAAGAGCUACCCGGAAUUGUUUUGAGUUUUUUAGAAGCUAUUUUGAAGGAGAAUGGAUUAAAGGAGAGGAAAUAGUGCAGACAUGGAAGGUAAGCAGCUGCAUUUUAAGCAGACAGGGCAAGUAUGGCUUUGAGGUGAUAGCAGGGAACAGGCUGCAGAUGAAUUUCAGUGCAUAAUGCCACCAUACAGAUACAAAACACUUCUCUCUUUGACAGAGAAAUCUUUCAUAUCAAUCUACGGAUGAAACAAUGCUUGGUUGAAAGAAACUGCAUAGCCUUGGUCUGGUGGCACCUGGCAUAUUCCCUAGUCCUGGUUUCCCAGGCCAGCAAGGCUAUAGAAAACAUGAAGAAUAUGGAAAACCAAUAAACUUUCUCCUAGGAUCCAAGCCAGAAGAGUGUUCUUCUGGGAUGAUCCAAAUGUCUUUAACUAAACUCCUGCAACUGAGAAUGGCAGUUUUGUUGGCAUCUGUUAGUCACAGCACAGAAAGGCAGCAGGCUGUGUCACCAUCCUGACUUACAGAUGCUGGUCACAGGGCAGGGAGGCUGUGGCAGAAGCAGAAGAUUUGGUGGAAGAGGAAGGAUCUGCUGUAGUGAAGAGACAUGGGAGAUUGGACAGGGUGAUCCCAUGUCAGUCUGUAGAAGAGGGCAGGUGUGGGCAGCUCACCAGUGUCUCCUGAUGUCACUGAGGAUGGCAGGCAACUGGCAGCUCCUCAUCCUGCAGUCUUUGUCUAGAACUCUGUAGCCAUCCACUAACCUGUCUUGGAUGGCUUCUCCAGUGUCAUCCCAUGUUCAUGACCACAUCUAUCAAGCAGUGCUGGCAUAUGGUGUAAGUCAGGAGCUGCAUGGGAGAGCAACUGCAGGUGACCCUGCUGGCAGGAGCCAUUUCCAGUGGUUUCCCUGCUGCUUUCUGGCUUUGCUCAGUCUGGUGGUGGAAGAUGUGUGUCCAGCCCAGCCUAGAGGCUGUGGGUCACACUUUGAUGUGCCCUCCCUUUGCCAGCUAUGCCAGCUUGGCUCGCUUGCCAAGUCCAUGUUCAGCAUGAUAGAUGUCAGCAGCAGAGCCAAAGGAUUGCCAGGGUGUGUUGGAGUCUGUUCACAAAGCCUGCAAGGAGAUGGAAAAGGUCAUUUUGUCUAGGGCAGGGGAGGAGGAAAGAGGCAGAAGGAGUGAUGCCAUGUGGAUUUGUUUUAUUCUCUUGGGGAAAACAAAGCAUCUCUGCAACAGAUGAUUUGAUGAUUCUGGAGAUCUUUUUCAACCUUAAUGAUUCUGUGAUUCUGUGACAGGAGAGCAGAAUGGAAAUAAAAACUGAGAUAAAGAAGAGAUAAAAAACUGAGAUAAAGAAACAGAUGAGCUCCUUAGCAACUUUCUCUUGCAUCUCACCUCACUGGGUCUCUUUACUACCAACAGUAGGGAAUAAAAAGGCAGAAAAAAAAGCGCCACGAGAGGAGUUUCGAAUGGAUGCCAAGAUUGAUUUAAUUAGAUGUAUUGAAUUCGUUAACUUCUGAAUGAUUUGGCUGUCAUGCAGCACAAGUGACAAGCUGCGAGCAGCAACGGCAGUGUGGCACCAACCUGCCAAAAGGCUCAGCAAAGCAGAAGGAUUGACCUACUUCCCUGGGCUCCAUGGAGAGCACAGGCGACUGCCCUCCACUUGCUAUUGCCGUGCUCCCUGGAGGGCUGUGCAUCCCUCUGUGCAGGGCAGAGCUCACCAGCCCAGCACUGCCCGUCAUCUCCAGCAUGAGCCUGGGGCUGGGUAAAUGUCCGCGUGCCUUUGGGAGGCAGAUCCCUCAAAGCAAGGGCUCCUGCUUUGUGUGCUGACUUCUGUCUUUUGGCUGAUACUGAUUUACUGCUUCUCCCACCUAGUGUACCCUUAAAAAAUACCAGUGUUCUCUGAUAAUGGGCCUAAAUGCUGUUGCAGCUGAUAAGGGUGAUAAAAUCACCCAUGCACACUGCCAUGGCAACCUGCGGCUCUUCGGUCUUGAUGCGUGUCUGCUCUUUGGUAUGAGUGCAGAUGUCUGGGUUUGUUUGAGACUCAGCCUGAGAAUCACCUGAGUCUGGAGGAUUUGUUUUCUGUUAUGAGCUCUGACAUGGAUGUGGAGCCACUGAACGGCUCCUUGUCUUGCUGGCCACCCUCAGUGUGGAGCAGAGCAUGCUUCCCCUUGUACCUUGCUGGAGCCCUGGCAGUGCAAAUUGCAUCUUGAAAGAUUUGUCAGUGCCAGGAAAGAGGCUUCCGAAAUAGAAAUUUGUUUCCAAAUGAAUUCCAUAAUGGUUGUCAAGAGAAACUGCUGAGUGUCUGCUCCCAGGUCUGCCAUUGUGCAAUGAGUGCGUAGAUCCAGAGUCCUCCCUGCAGUGACCACAGGAUCCCUUAGAGAUCCUGUGGUCAUCCUGGACAGGUAACAUUCCAGCUAGAGAAGUCCCAAGAGUUGAGUGGCAUUCUGAUGUACUGCCCUUGGUAGCAGCCAUUAGCCAAACUCCACUGCAUUUGUUUGAGUUUUCUCCGUCCCUCAUUAUUGUAGAUGCAAGAAUAUGUCCUGUCAAGCCAUGUCUGUUAAGUAGUGAAGAGAGAAUGUGGAUUGCCUAAGCUUCCAGCACAGAAGUGGUGCUGCUGUGACAGAGAGUGUUUGCCAAGACCUUUGGAGCUCAAAGACACCGACAGAGAUGUUUGUGAAGUGCGCAAGUACAGAAAUGCUGCACGAAACCAUGGUCUGGGUUGUGCUGAAUAUCCCUAUAUGACCGAAUGAAAUGCUGGCAUGUAAGGGAAGCUUAGGCACACCAUCAGCCUCCUCUGAUUAUUGUCAGUAUUAAGCCCAGAUUGGCAACAUCAGGUCAGGUAGUCACCCAGUAUGGUGGGGACUUGCUAUUUCAGUGAGGAAAUAAGACAAAGCAGCACUGGGGAAGUUGUCACACAGAGAGGACAACUGGGAUGUUGUUUCCCACCACCCAAGCUCAGGCCUUCUCCUCUUCUUGCCUCAAGUGUUGCUUCUUCUCCUAGCCCUACAGCAUCACUCAGCUUAAGGAAAGAAUGGUAGCUUGGGUGGGGAGAUGAAAGAAGAAAUGUUAUUUCAUUGACCAGUGUCAACAAAAUAUAUGGAAAGAAGAAAAAGAGGAUGGAUGGAAGGAAUCCAGCUGUCUUCUUCUGCAGAGAAGAAAUCUCUUUGUAGCAUUGAGGCUGCUUCCAGGGUUCAUGAUUCAGCUUUCAGGGAAACAGCUGUAUUUAUGCAUGAAAACCACACUCUCAUUCCUCAAGAAGUGUGUUGGCAUAGAUGAGCCUCUGACCUCGAUGUAUCAGCUCAGUGGUCAACAGCCUUAUGCAGAAAGAGCUUUGGUGUGCAACUCUUCCACUUGAUUUUCUAAGUAUGGAAGCUCUCCUGAGGAGCUGCAUUGUGUGCUGCUGGCCCUGGGAUGGGAUGCGGAGCAAGGAGUGAAGAAGAGCUGUGCCAGUGCUUUUGACAGAUGCUAUUUCCUGUUAGAGAUGCUUUGUAUGCAAAUCAAGGUGACACGACAAGAGAAAAGUCCUGAAAGCAAUCACACCGAUAAACUCAGCCCACUGGGGAAUUCCUGCUUAUCAUUUAUCUUUUGUUUUUUCAGUUCUGUACAAGAUACUUCUUUGCCUGUGCUUUCUUACAGUCUUUAAUGUUUGUCCUGCCAGACCUCUUGCUUAGGAAUUACAGUGCUUGCAUUUUUCAGGGCUCUGUGUCAAUCUGCACAAACAAAAGGCAGUAAGUGCUGGAUAUUGGGGUUAACAGUCCCUGUGUUUCAGCUUGAUCUUGCAUUGAUCUGGUGCUUUCUUAAGUUCAAGCCAGACAUGAGCCUCACAUUACAGAUUGCCUGUAGUGAUGAUCUAUUGGAAAAGUGAUCCCAGAAACCUCAGGAAUGAAAAAAAAAAAAAAAAAAGAGAGAUAAAAAGCAAAAAGAAGACAGCAAAAAUUUUACCUAGUAACUUAAACAGGAACAGGAUUUGACCUCAAGAGAUGGUGUGGGCAGCACUGCACUAAUGCAGUAACACAAAUUGAUCACGUCAUUGCUCCAGCAAGGCAAACUCACAUAGAAUCACAGACUAGUUUGGGAAGGGAUUUCAAAGAUCAUCUAGUUGAACUCCCUUGCCAUAGCCAGGGAGACCUUCUAUCAGACCAGGUUGCUCAGGGCCCUUUCCAACCUGGCCUUGAACACUCCAGGGGUUGGGCAUCCACAACUUCCCUGGGCAUCUGCUCAGCCUGUGCCCUAUAGGUGUCCCUGUAAGUGGAUGGUGCUGCUCAAAGCCUUGCUCUCACCAGGCUGCCACCCUGCUGAUGUUACAACAGGCUGUCAGGGUGAAAAAAAGACUCAGAAACAGAAAAGGAUGUGUCAGAGAGCUGCAGAACGGCAUUGCCAAAGAACAUUCUCUGCGUGUCCAGAGAUAGCCGCUGCAGCCCAGGUCUUGUUGAAUCAUGCUGUGGUUGUUCUGGCCUUUGUGUGGGUAACAGUGAUAAUCAUUGUGUGUGGUGUUGGGUUUUAUUAUUUCUUUUUAUUUUUCCUUAAAUGUAAAAUUAACAGUCAAAUUGGCAUUGGUGAGGCAGCAAGCCUGGUGCAGCUUUUAUCUAUCCUGAACCUCGGAACAAAAGAGGGGAGGAAAAUGGCUUGACCAGUUUGGCAGCCGUGCACGUAACGGUCCUGGAGUUCAAAGCAAAGGGCACAACAGUCAGAUACCCAAACCCGCCUGGGCUUUGGCUGAUAAGUCACAUUUCAAAGUAAAAGGCAAUCCUGCUGGGGCUCUGCUGAGUGCCUAAAACUCCAGUGCUGAGUCUUCUUUAAAAGGGGAUUUCAUAAGGAGUAAUAUGAACAGAAAUGGCUCUUUUGUGGUUUUGCACAUUCCAGGCAUGCCAGGACUGUUCCUGUCAAGGAUGGGCGGUCUCUGGGGUUUUGGGUUCUUUUUCUUUUUUUUCUUUUUUUUUUUUUUAAUUUUUUCCCCAAAUAUUUGCCACAAACUAGCAGCUGAAAGGGUGAAAAAUAAAUAAGAGUUGCAAAAUCAUUACAGUAGCAGUAAUGAAACUGUGAAGCUUAUACUUCAAUUGGCUGUGGGGUUUCACUCCAUCUUCUGCACUGUUCUGCUGUGAGGUUUACUACUUUUACCUGCUAUGUCCACUUCAGGAUGGAUGAUUUUGAAAGCAGAGCUUUAACUGCUUGAAGUUGGUUACCCAGGACUUCAAAAAGCAGUGCUUUUGGCUUUUUCACCAGGAAUACCUUCAGAGUCGGAACCAUGGGACCAAAAUACUAAUCCUGAGAAUUUGUUCUCAGCCCAAGUUUGACCGGAGCACAAAUACAGAUAGAGAGAGAAGGCAUCUCUUUGAAAGUGGCAAUAGAAGUGACACUGUUGGAGUGAACCUUCUGGCCUGGUUUUAUUAAAUGUGAAUAUGGUUACUUAGUGGUGAACAGGAAUGGAUGGUGGAGUGCAUUUAGGAGAUAGGUGCUGAAGCCCCCUCCCAUCCUUCCCAACACAGGGAAGUCUCAAGGCUGUUGCCUGGACUGUUUUGGGUCUGUGGGUGGAGGAACUUAAUCACCAAGGUUGCCAUCAAAUGCUGCCCUUACAAGAUACAAGGAAGAAGUGCUUGUGUUAAUUCUGUGCUCAACAUACAUAUUUUUCAUCUUAGACAAGUCUGGUCUUCUAGCCUUCUGGACUGCUGCCAUUUUGGGUUUGGGAAAUUUUUUUUUUCUUUCUUUCUCCAUCAGUGCUACCAAUCACAGAAUUUUGGAAACGAAAAGUCAUAAGGGGCGUGUUCAGUGGUGAGCUCUUUUUACUAGGCUGAUCUUUUUGGAGUUGGUUUUGAGGUGGAUUUUGUUCUGUCCACUCAGUGUCUCCGCUGUGGAAAUAUUUAUUGCUGUGAAACUGUAGCAAGCUUUAUAAGUGGCAGGAAAAAACACUUUUGUAACCAAACAAAUGUGCUUUCCGUACAAGUCACACAGGUGAAAAAUUUGGAAUUUUUUUGUUUUGUUUUGUACCAAACCAGUUUUUCCACUGUGUUAUCUGGAGUGGGAAAAUGAGUGGACCUUGCAUUUUAAUAUAGAUUUAAUCUAUGUAAUCACAACAGAAGUGUACAUAAAGAUUCUCUGUUAUUCUGCUUUUUCUAUGUAUUUGCUUAGUGCUUUUGUGCCUUAGAAUCUCUGUUUUUCUUCUUUUUGAUGGUUUGAGAGUUUUGAUAGAGACAACAAAAGUGCUUAAAAGUAUUAAGGUCCUUGGGAAGGCUACAAAAGUUCUGCAGCGGUGAAGAGAUGCAGGCAACCUGUAGAAGAGCCAGAUUUUGACAGCAUGGGAAGUGGUUAGCGCCUCAUUGGACAUCCUCACAUCAAAGCUGGACAGUGGGUUGCUUGAAAUACUCUGUUUGAACCACAAAUUGCUGGGCUUUGGGCAGAAAUCACUGUAUGAAAUUCUGUGGUCUUUAUUAGUCAGGCGGACAGACAAUAAUUUUGCUGGUUUCUCUCAGAGAAUUUAUGAAUCACAUAGUUAGGGUGUUCUGGGGGGAGUUUGAGUUUCCAUGAAAAGUUUGCUGUGGUAGCAUGCAGACAACAAACCCAUCUGUUCUCUUGUCCUUUCAUUGUACUGUGUUGCUUUCGAAUUGUUCCAGGAGGAUGAAAUUGGGCUUGUUAUUUAAAUUUCAGUAUGGGUGGCCAGAGCAACUCUACCUUGGUUUUUAUGGACCUCCAGGAAUGGAUGGUGCCUUAUGCCAGCCCUGAUUUAACAAAACCUGAGGACCGACUCAGCACUGCAGCAUAGCCCAUGGGAAUUGUGUGCCAUGGAUCCUGCAGCAAGGCAGUGUCUGGGAAUAUCUCCUCGCACUCUUUAGUAGUAAGGAUGUAAUCAGCUCUUGUAGGCUGGUAUCUGAUUAAACAGCACAGUGUGGAAAAAAUAUCAAUCCCACACUUGUUUAGGCAGUUGAACGUGUGUAGUUGGCAACAAUGAAUUCAGGUUCUGUCUGAAGUGUGUGUGAGUCCAUCUGGGGAGCACAGUGUCGGGGAGAGAGUCCGUGGGAUCCUCCUGAUGGAGCUGUGAGACAGAAAGGAACCCUACAACUCUGGAGAGCAAGUAGGAGCAGGGGUGUGACUUGUGACUUUGUCCUUUUAAAGGGGGACACGCUGCCUGGUGUCUGUAGGGAAGAAGGGAGGGGAAGUGCCAGGAAGAAUUCACGGCAAGCCGCAGAUGACUUGGGCUUGCUUUGACUCCAGGCAUGAGGAGUGCAAUGAAUUUGGUUAAUUGGGAUGAAGGCUGGCAAGAGGGUGACUUGACUGCCACAUCUACAGGAAGAAUGUUUUGAUCAGCAGGUUUGGGGUAAGGAGGAACCCUUAGAAUUUUUAUGUCCUUUUCCAGAUUUUAGAGGAAAUGUCUCUCUAGCAUUGCAGGUUUAGUUUAAAAUAUUGGGCUUAUUAUGUAGAGAUCCUGGGUGAAAGGGACUGAUAUGCAGUGUAGUGAAGGCAGGAUGGAUAUUUUUGGGUCUUUCAGCCUUUAUGCUCAAAGCUCUGGUACUCCCCAGCACCUUCUUCCCUCAAAGAAGGGAAGCACCUUCUUCUACCCCUCCCUGGGGUAGGGGAGUUCUGCCACAAUGCUGGGCAUAGCGUAAACUGUCAGGACAAAACGCUUCAGAGCCAUCAUGUCUCAAGACAGGUGUCUUAAGAUAGCUGCUUUCCCUCUGGUAAUGGCUAUUGUCCUCCAGCAGCUAUGUGGGAGACCAGAAAUCUGGCUGAGGUGUGGACUCCUGUGCUUUGGAUGUCUGAAGCUGCGUGAGGUGAACGCCCCUCUCACUACCUGUGUGCAUGAUGAGUUUGUGGAAUAAAGAACCUAACAAAGAACCGUCUGACACCACCUGAGAUGAAAAUAAUAUGGAAACCUUAAUAAUCUCUCUGCAGCUGAGCAGUCUCUGGAGGUUCUGUAGCAAACUUGACCCACUUGCUGAACCCCAGCAGUGCAGCACUGGGCACUCCUCUGCCUGCCUUCAGAAGAAUGAAAGGACAGCAGUAUGAAAAGAGACAAGUACAGGGCACAGCAAUCAGUGGUAGGUGUUGCUGAGAAGAUGGUUCCCAUGUGCUCCUCAGAAGGGCUGCUGAGCUGCCAGACAAGCACCAAGCUUUCCCCUUCCUGCAUGUACCUGUCCUGCUGGCUGCAGCCCCUGCUGCACUCUGGGAGGAUGCAAGGCUCUGGCUCUUUGAAUGGCUGUCCAGAAGAGUGAGGGAAAACCUCCCUGGACACAAACCACAUUGAUUUGCUGGUGUUGUUUCUUGUUGUUUUUUCUUUUGGCUGUCUGAAAAACUAAGUACAAACCUCUUUCACCUAUUUGACAUUAAUUCACUAAUGGAUUGCAGAAGGUUUCAUGUUUGGUUUUUAGCUGAAAAAGUGAUGAUGCAAUUAUAAACCUCUCAUCCAUUAUGUAUCUUUGAACCAUGUGAAAAGUGUGAAUUUUUACAGAAAAUGUGAGAGUGGUGGGGGUUGUGGAAUAAACUUUUUUGCCUGAAUUUUAUUCUAAGUUUUGAAUUAAUGAGAUGUAUUUAAUGGGUCUGAGAAAGCUGUGAUUUUUCUCCUUUUCUUCCUGCAGUGUUGGGCUUUUUUAUUCUUUUUGGGGGGCUUUUUGGGGUGUUGCUGUUGUUUAGCUUUUUUUGUAAACAAAAUAUUUACUCCACAAGUUAAAAGGUUUCUCAUAAACAAAUUAAUGUCAAAAGAAAAGUAAGGAUGAGGAGAGACCAGACAUUGGGUUUUAGUUACCUCCUGUUUUUUCCUUUUAAGCUUCAGCAAAAUGGCAAUGAUUUCAUUUUGACCCACUUUCAAAUCACAUUAGCAAAUGAAUACAGAAUGGGAAGGACAAUCACGUGAACUUCAAAAAUGAAGCAGGUCAGGACAGGAGAGAACAGCAGCAAUCCUGCUCUGACCAUCUGCCCGGACUGGGGUGUUUUAGUGUAUCCUACAACAUUUUUUGUGUCAUCAAUAACAAAUAUCCAGUGAUUGGAAGGGGAUAAGGAAAAAGGAUCCCUCAGUGCUUUGCCCAUUUUUCUUGGCUCCCUUUUCGGUGUCAGCAGCCUGCAUCUCACAGUCACUGCAGCUGCAUUGAGCACCUUGUUCUUGAGUAGAGCACAUCAGUGCAGAUGAGUGCAAGAGGGUGCUUGCUCUGGUCCCUGAGCUCUGGAGACUGCUAUUAGUGCCAAGGCUGAGCACAAAAGUCUCACCCAGAGGGAGGGUACAUCAUCUUCAGUAGCAGCAGGGAGCUUGUUGCAAUACUCUCAGGGCCCACUGAGGUCCCUCACAUCUCUCCUGGCUUGUGAGAGGAUGGACCUUUGGCUGUGAUUCUUCCAAGAUUCUGCUGAGCUGACAACAGGUCUGCUUCUCCACAACAGGUCUGCCUUUGCAGGGAAGGCAUGCCAGCAGCUUCCUCUGGGGUUGGAAAAGUCACCUCCACAGUUACUCUCUUCCUGGAGAAGCACGUUUGAUUUACCUUAGGAAAUUAGAGCUGCUGCAUUGACCUUGAUGGAUCUAUGCUGUGUGGUUUGUGUUUGGUUCAGGAGAGUUCAGUGGCAUUUCUUAAUCACUACGAAAACUGUUCACUGUGUGGUAACUUCAGCAUUCCCAGCUUUGGCCUUAGAGCAGAAGCAGCAGUGCUUUUUCUUCUGUGAGUUCCUGACUUUUUUCUGGCACUUGUCAGGUGUAAGGAAGGGUGAUCUUGGUGUUACAUCUCCUGAGACCUUCCUCACUGUUAUCCUCAGCCAGUGCCUAGGAAAGAUGUAACAUGAGCUGGUUUUCUAUGAAAAAGAAUUGUUUCUGAAUGAUUGAUAUGUGGGAAUAGUCCAGUCUCUGCCUGUCUGCUUUUGUCACUGUGAGACUGAGGCAUCACCUCUGUCUUCUGUCCUUAUUCCCAUUUUGGUGAAUGGCUGGCUGAGGAGCUGCAGAAAAAGUAACAAACCCAAGAGACAUGGGAUGCUGAUACAGCUCCCCAGGGUUUGGAGUGAUGCUGCUGGGGGUGCCCAGCUUGGGUGAGCAUGUCAGUGACACCCUUGCAGUGGCUCUCUCCUGCUGCCUGGGACCUUGUAGCUUCAGGGUAUGAGUUAGUACCAAAAUUUAACACUGUCUCAGCCAAGUCAACAAAAAACUAUCACUCUCUGCUCAUAACUGGAGGGAGAUAUGGCUCUGCUUGGCUUCUCGAGGGCUGCCUAGAAUUUGUGCACAACUCCAUAUUCAAAGCCUCCCUUUUCCUGGUGCCUGACCACCAGGUGACAAGCAGAGGUACAAAAUCCCUGUCCCCAGCCAUCUGCAGAGGGAGGAGUUACCCAGGGACCAGCCCUGGCAUUGCUCCCUGAAACUCCAUGGAAGUCCUACUGCUUCCAGAUGUCCUGCCUGUCCCUUGCAUGUCCAGUCAUCUUUAUUAAACCUCUGCAGCAGAUUGGGAUUGGGAAUCAAAGGGAUAAAGCACAGUUUGGGGUCUGUGAAUGGUUGCAGAAACCGGGGGCAGGGAGAUGGGAGCAAGGAGUGAUAAUGUGCUAAGCCACUGCAGGUGCUGGAUCAACAGAGGGUGAACCAGCCCCUUGCUGCCCUCCCACCAGCAGGCUCCCGCAGAGAUGUGCAAUUCAAGCAGCAGAGACCUGAGGGGGACUUGCUCCUGGCUUGUGGCACCUCCUCUUGCCCUGGUUGGCAGCCAUCACUGGAUGUGUUGCCUCAUGCCAAACUCAUUCAUAGGUGCCUAAUCCUCUGCAGCCAGCCAGCUCGGUGUCGAGGACUUCCUUCCAGGAGCCAGAUACGUCAGUACCAUUAUACGUGUGGGUCUUGAGUGACUUGUGCAAGGCCAGGCAGCAAACUUGUGGCUGAGCAGGUGUUGAAAACCAGCUCUCCCAAGCUUUGAGUUGGCAGCCUUUCCACCAGGAAAUCCUUCGUUUAACUUUCCACCACAGCAGAUGGGCUUGCAUCGAUGUAGGAGGGAAGGCUCCAUGCUCUUGUGCAUUUCUUCCCAUCCUUCUUCACCUGCUUACACUUGUCCCUGAAGACAUCUUCUCUCAGGGUGAAGAAAUACUGUUCAGUGUCUAGAAGAGAGUAGAAAGGGAGCUGGAUUGCUUCUGGCACCACGAACUGAAGAAGAGAAUGGAAUAGUUUUGGGCAAGGUUCAAGGCAGGUCAUGCAAGUUUGCAAACAGCUUCUGCAGGGCUCCAUCAGCAGCUCUUAUCCAUGAGAGCCUGUCAGGUGUAGCAGCAGUUUCUCUGCCACCCCUCACACCUCUCUCCUUCAAAGCAGUCACAAACUGCCCUGGAACAGGCUGACCUUCGGGAUAAUUAUUUCUGCUUUUUUUCCCCCCAAGGCAGGGUCACCUGAGUAAAAGCUGAGGAAAGCUAAAACAACCUCAGCUUUUUGUCAGUUUUCCUUGCAACAGUGACAGGGCUGUUGUUCUGCUCUUGGCAUUAAGAAAUCAGUGUUACCAUGGGAGCAAACUCCCAAACAGGUGGCGAUCACACACAUAUUAACCUGAACCAGUGCAGGAGGCACCGCGUCCCCCUGUGGAUCCGCCAAGGGUAGAGGAGAUCUCAUUACUCUUUGUUUGUGCUCAGAGUGUGGCUGUCCAGAGGAUGGUGCCCAAAUAGAUAAGGCUCUAGGCACAGAUGUCUGGUUUGAUUAUUCCUUUCCUUUUGCAACAAACCAUAUGGUAGUUUGGGCAGCACAGAUAUCUGGCAAUCAAAAUUCCUGGGCUCCCUCCCUGACUCCACCAUUCACUCAUUUAAUUUUCAAAGCAGUUUACAUGUAUCAGCAAAACUUGCUGCAUUGAACCUCCCCACCUCCUUAAAACAAGAGCUCCCCCAUAUCACUGGAGGUACUUUUAAAUACAGUCAUGUCUUGCUUUGCUAUCACAAAAUUAGGUGCACUUAAUGCUGGUAAACUACUUUGCCACCAACAGAUAAAAGGCACUACAGACAGGUUGCUAAUCAGUUUGAUUAAGAAAAGCACCUAAAGUUUGCCACUGCUGCUGGACGAUUGCAGGCUGAUCUGUCUAUAACCCACAGAAGUAAGAUGAAUUAGGCUUGAUAAGCAUUGUUUGGUUUCUGGUGUGUCAACCAGUGAGUGAAAUGACUCGGUGUUUAUAUGCCAGGUCACAGUGAAAAGUUUCUUGCGAUUGGAAAUGAUUAGGCACACUGAUUAAUGCUUCCAGGGCUCUUUGAUCCAGAGCUGCCAGUUGGAAUGAGUCUUGCUGCACGGAGACAUCCCAACUGCCUGGUAACAAAAGUGCAGGGGGUAGAAAAUGGACUGAAAAAAUGCAGGUGGGGAUGGGAAGGCUCUGCUGUAAGAUGUGCUCUUUUUCUUUGGGCUCCGGGCUUGCAUUCUUUGAACCAUCUUCUUAUUCCUGGAAGUCAAGGCAGUUUGUAACUCAUAUUGUGCUUGUCAGGUUUAUUCAUUUUAGAGAAAAUGUUCAGGAAGAUUGCCAAGUCAUCUGAACUUCCAGCACUGAUAAGGACCUCAGGGUCUGCUAAGUUAAGAAGACAACAUCCCAAGUCCACGAAAAGCUUUAGAAUACAGCACUUCCAGGGUAGUCUCAACUCUUGUGAAAUUGUUACUUCUCUCAGUGUGCAGGUGGCAUCUCCUUGUGAUGGAUGGUCUCCUUUCAGCCAUAGGAAUUCCCAUUUUAACCCUCAAUUAGAAUAACUCCUUUUAUCAUAGGUGAAAUAUUUGAAAUGAUUUCUUAUGACAGGACACAGGAAGAUUUGCUUGAGUAAGAGGUAGAUUCCCCAACAUUUCUUACCAUUCCCACACCAGCACACCAUUUGUCUUCAUUAUUUUGUGUCUCAUUCAUGCCAUGGGUUCUAUGGUUGAACCUUGCACCAGCUGGGGGACAUGAACAUGGCUGCAUGCCCACUACAUUUUCUUUACAGCCAGGACUGCACUGAUUGUCAUGCUCACUUGUCACACCUGGCUGUCCAUACUUGGUCCUUCUGGGGUGAUUUCUGGUCCUUUUUUUGUGUGAUUUGUGGAUAUCAGGAUAGGAUUUCAAUAAAAAUCAAGCAUAACCUGUUAGUAGGUGAUGAAUGGUAACUCCAAAUAGCUCUGGAAAAUUAGGAGUGAAGACUCUAAAAUGUCUGGAUGUACUGUGGAGCUGAAUUGUGGGUGUCCACACCAAGGGCAUUAAGCCAUUCUCAAAUCACUGUCUUCUCUCUUGUUUUAGGAGAGCCCCAGAUCUAUAGCAACUUACCUCAGAAUUCUCCUACUGCAAACCCAGGUGGUUCAGCAGCUCCAGCUGCUUUUGUUCAGGGAAAGGAGGAGGCAGGAGCUGGGGCUGGCCCCUUGUCAGGCUACCCGAGGACAUCUCUGGUGCUUGUGGCCAGCUCUGCCUGAGCCCUGCCUGAGCACUGAGCAUUCUGGCCAUCCCACAUUUCUCUUGGCUUGUAUUUGUGCUGAAGACUCCUGAUAUUACAAAACAUGGGAAAACUUUUUGAGAUACUGGAAGUGUUCAGGGGCUGAGAAACCAGUGGAAGAAAACUGGUGCCCACCCAUGUAGGUCAGUGUAAGGAAGAAAUCCUAAUGCUUUUUAAACCAAACUUCAGUUUCUUUGGGUAUGUCUAUGUUUUCCAUGUUUUGCCAAUCACAAGAUCUUGCAGAGACCAGCACUGACAACUUCUUUGACAUGGGAGGCCCAUGUCCCAUCUUCCACUUGAGUCACACCUGGCCAGACACCUUCCCACCACCAUUUCAUAUAUCCAGAGAUUAUCUGUGCUUUCCCUGUACUCAUAGGCCUGGGACCACAGCUGUCCCCAUACAAAGCCUCUGCUCUCUGAUAGCACAUGAACUCACCCCAAGCUGGGCUGGCAGCUUUGGGAUUUCUCUCCUCUGCUGAGCUGUUUUCACAAAAUGCAUUGAAAGCUUGCCAUCUUAGCUUACCAUGUCAGUUCUCUGACAUGUUUGGUGCCUUCUGGCCAAUGUAUUCAGCAGAGGGAGGAUGGACAGACAAUGAAUUCCUGGAUAUUUUUGUGGGGGAAAUUGGUAUAAAUAUGAGUAUACAAGAGUUUCCUGCAUUUGUGAAGUUGUGCUUCAUACUUGUAUUCAAACCUAUGUUGUCUUCCUGUGCAUGGUCUGAAUCAGCUAAUAUCUAAUUGCAGAUCAUUUUAAUAAAAAUAGGUGCCUACUCUGCCUAUUUUCCAAUUUCCAGGUGGCUCCAUUGUGGCUGCUUGGCUGCUGCCUGCCCUGCUGCUAAUGUUCCUGUUUUCCUCCCCAGCUUGUGUGGCUGCCCUGGCAUGUUGCUGGGACAGGGAGCAGUGACGCAGGGUCUCCUGGAAGUCUGUGGAUGGGCCAAGUAAAACACAGCUGGGCAUCAUCCCAAGUACCUCAAAGACUGCUGCACUGAGUAGGUUCCCAUUGUCUCAGACAUCUCAUUGUACUUAAUAGCAAUGGAGGUGUCUGUAUCGCCCUCAUUUACAGCAAGCGAGUGGCUGGGGCCAUGAAAGGGAGGAGUUUGGGGUUAGACAUGCCUCCAACUCCUUGGGGUAGGAAUCACUGCUUAUCAGAAGCAAUUUUGGAGAGGUGUUUCAGGUGUGGCUUCCAUGCUGGAGACAAUUUCAGGCUGGUGGAAGCCAUCCCAGAGGUGUGUGACAGCACUUGGUGGCUUCGACACUUCCCCAGCCACAUGCCCCCUGGCAGUGCUCCAGCUCAUUGCCAGCCUAUUUGCUGCCUGGCUUGCCUGCCACACGCAAGACAAGAAAAUGUUUAUCAGCGUGACUGAUAGACCCAUCCUCCUUAUCAUGUUCAUCUCGGUAUGGAUCCUAGCAGGGAGGCAGUGAGUGGGAUGAUGAGUUCAAAGGUGCCUAGCCAAAAAGUUAGCCAGCUCAAUUAUUUGCCUUGUUAUUGCUACCACAGUUAACCCUUUGGCUGCUGGCUCCGGAGUAGGGUAUCUGUGAGGAUCUGUUCAUCUCUCAGGCUCAUGGCUCGAGCCCUGACAAGUGUUUUGUUAGGUGAGACCUUUGGUUGCAGCCAGUUUUGCCUUUACUGGUAGUAGUUUCUUUUUUUCCUCUUUCAUGAGAGGUUGCUGCUCCCAGUGAGAGGCUGGGCCAUGCAUGCCUGGCCAUGCCCAUGAGGUGAAGGGCAGGGCUCAUGCUCCAGGCUGGCAUGACGUGGAGAAUAAAACAAAACUGUAGUUGGGGAGGCGUGGCCAGCAAGAAGCACAAGACUCACAGCCCCUCUGGGCAGGGUUAGACUGGGCAGACACCUGGCAGAGAGAAUGUCUGCCAGGUGUCCAGGUUAGGGUGCAACCCAGGGCAUUAAAAGUCUGGGUGUGUGAGAGCUGGAGCUGCUGUUUGAGUCAGUUAGAGAUCUUAAAGAUCUUUGUAUGUUGGACAUCCAUGGAAAGAAAUUGCUGUUGGAUCCUUACUGCUCUCUACGCCAAAUUGAAAAGCUCAGGACAAGUUUUUCCCCUGACAUAAGUGCAUAGCAAAGUAUCUGUUGAGAAGAUAUGGGAAGGAAUCACAGAAACAGAGACAAGACUAGGUUAGAAGGGACCUCCUGACACCAUCCAAUCCAGCUUUCCUUUAAAAACAGGGUCUUACUAGGUUAGUUGAGGCCAAAUCAAUUUACAUCUUUAUUAUUUCUAGUGAGAAAGAUUCCUCUCUCUUUGGGCAACUGAUGCUAAUGUUGCUCUCACAGAAAAAAGGUUUUUGAUAUUCACAUGGAACUUCCCUAGAACUUCCCUAGUAGCCAGUUUUGCCCAUUGCUUUUUCUCAUAUCAUAGUACAUGCUUGUGAAGAGAUGUGGAAGGCAGUGAUUUGAUUUCCCCACACUAAAUCUUCCUCGCUGAAGUCUGAGCAAGUGAAAGUCAUUCAGUCAUAAAGUUCUCCACUCCCCUAAUCUUUUUGGUCCCCUCUGGACCAUCUCCAGGUUUUCAAUGUCUCUUGAACUGGGAAGAAAGAAACUGAACAGUGUGUUCCAGGAGGAGCUGAAUAGAAAGAUCACAUCUCUUCACAUCACAUCUCUUCAUCUACCAGCAACAGUCUCACUAAUUCAGCCCAGGAUGCUGUUGACUGUCAUUGCUGCCAGGAUAUUGGCUGGCUCAUGUUCCUCCUGCUGUCUGCCAGGGCACCCUGUGCCUUUUCAGCAGAGCAACUGUCCAGCCAGCCAGUGCCCAGCUGGUGCUUCUGCUUAGGAUUAUUCCAUCCCAGAUUCAGGACUUGACAUUUAUCUCUGCUGAACUUCAUGUUAAACUUCAUUCUUGUUGGCCAGAUCUUGACAGCCCAUUGAGGUCUCUAUAUGGUGAAUUUUUUUUUCUUCCAGAGCUGCUUCUUCAUCCAGCUUAGGCUCAUCCUCAAAUUUGGUGACAGUGCAUUCAGGCCUAUCUUCCAGACCACUUAGAAAGCUGAAUUGCAUUGACUUCAGAAGACAUUAAUUUGUGCCCAGCUGCCAGCAUGACUUUGAGCCUUUUAACUUUUGAGCCUCUGAACUCAACAGUUUAGUCAGUUCCUCAGGCAUUUUGUGUUUCAUAUGCCUAGACCAUGUCUUACUGACUUGUCAAAAAGGAUUUUGAGGGAGGCUGUGUCAAACACUUUGUGAAAAUCAAGUUGAUGAUGAUAUCCACUACUUUCAGCCACUGAGCAGGGUUUUUGGUCAAAGCAGGAUUGACCCUUCAGUUUGUCCAUGUUGGCUUUUCACAUUCAGGUUCUUGAAAUGUGUUUGCAUGGAAAUAGCUUUUGUAAGGACCUGUUCUGCAGUUCUCUCAGGGUCUGAAACAAGGCUGAUUGGUCUGCAGUUUCCUGGAUCUUCUUUCUGGCCCUUUCUGUAGGUAGACAUAGUCUCUAGACUGGAAGAUCUCUCUCCACAAACCUGUUUAUUCUUUUGUUUUUCACUUCCUCAGGGUGGGGAAAUAAGGUGUUUGAUACCAGACAAAUGGCUUAAAGCACUAUGGAUGUCAACAUGCAUAGAACAGAAGAUCCUUGUGUGUUGAUACCUGUGCAAAUUAGUUAAAGAGAACAAAAUCUGGGCUGGAAAGGAAAUAGUUCAUGGUGGCAUUUGGUCAUAACCUAAAUUCCAAAUUCUUGUUGAUGGCGAAAUAAUCCUGUCUGCAAUUCUAGGUGAACUAAAGUGCAGUUCUGUGUAGCUUGAGCUAUCUUUAAUACUACUCUUCUAAGUUUAAUUUAGCAGGGACUGGUCUUUGGUCUUGCAUGCAUUCAGCAGUCAGGAUUUUGGCCUCUCUGCCAGUAGCUGGAAGCCAGGUCUCUCCAAGAAACGAGCUUGGUUUCAAGGGACUGUUGUGAUACUGCAUGCAGCUGACUGGUGUCAUCUGAUGGAGUCCUUAGAUGGAGUUGUCACCUCGUGAGAUUAGCUAGAGUUCUUUUAAGUGUGUGUAAGGUAUGUGUAAAGUUUGAACAGACACAGCAAUAAGCUGCCUAGUUUUGGUCUUACAUUGAUAUAAAUAAUUAUAUAUAUCCACAUAUACAUUGUUUAGUCAAUGCAGUUAUUUGGCAUGAUUACCCCGAAAUACAGCAACAUGCCCUCUCAGACUUCUUUCAUGUUCCAAAACAAGAUAUACAGUUUUAAUUCAGACUUUCCAAUUUUGAAGUGUUAGGAGUCGUCCAUCAAUACUAUAGUAGUUGUAUUGAUACCUGAGUUUUACAUUUUAAUAAUCACCACAAUAAAUAGGAAAUACCUUCUCUCCACUGCCAAAGGAUGAGUUUUUCUGCUCCAGCUCAACAAGUGCCCAAGUCCUUCAUAUAUCAGCUGUUGGGGGCUCACAGCCUGGCUUCUGAGAAGAGCAAGAGGAGGAUAGCAAGGGCUGAAUAGGAAGUUGUUGAAAGGCCAGGAAGGUUCAUGUGAGGCCUCUGAAUGGGAUUAUCCUCCUAGGCAGUGACUUGUUAACAUUCAGCUGCACAUGGGUGUCCUUCUUCUGCACCCAUGGAUUCAAAUGUUAAGGUGUAAUUGUAAUUACAAUUGUAAUUGUAAAGCAAUUGACAUGGCAUUGCUUAGCACUGUUAUUAAUAUUCACAGAGCAGGUAGCUGUGUGUCUUCCCUUUAGAAGAGUGGAAACCCAGCAUCCACCCAGACUCUGUAAAUACCAACCCCAAGUUAUUUCAAGAUGUUAAGGAAAGUGUUUUUUAUUCCUAAUUUUUUGAUUACCUGUUUCUGGUCUGUCUGGAAAGGGUCAAUAGAAAACAAGAUUCCAUUGGAACAUUGAAACAUGUCAUUGCAACACCCGUGGUCAGUGUUAUGUGUGUACACAUUAAUAGUCAGCUGAGUCUAAAUAAACAUGCAGAAUGCCUGGUUUUGGCCGAGCAAGAAGUGGCAGCUGCUUGCACUGCUGUUUCCUCCAUGCUGUGGGCUACCUGCUGGCUUUGCAGAGGUGGAGCAGUUUGGGGUGUCAUUUCCUUGAAGCACUUUGUCAUGCCCUCCCACAAGCCCUCCUUCCCUCUGUCUGGCUCCUUGCAUGUUUUCAAUGAAAGGUUCUGUUCACAUAAGCGGCAACUCAAAUUAUCUCUAAAUAAACCAGUUUAUGUGGAGAGUAAUUCAUGAGCACUUCCAGCAUGGUGAUAAAUGACAGGCAGGGCCAGUGUGUACAAGGUGGCCCCGCAGGCAUGUGUCUCAAUCAAGUUGUGCAAAGAUACUGUAGAAGGGUGUGGAAAAAUGGCCUUAAAAUUAAGAGCUGUGUCUUUUGGAGCUGUAGAGACCAGAUUGUAAGUGACAGACAUGCAGUAUUUGAUCUGUCACUUCCUGUCUAACAUUUUAUUUCCAGAACUUGACACAUACUUCAAGUUUUACCCCCUGUUCCUCCCCAUGUGACUACCAGUCUACUUCUUGAAAAAACAACAGUCAGCAUAGCCUCUUAAAGACACCUUAAACAGCCAGGUGUGAUAAAUAAUUACAAUAAAUUUGAAAAGUUUAUGUACUAACCAGCUGUUUUCCAGCCCUUGCUGACAAAAUUCUUGAAGUGCAGUUGAGCUUCGCCUUAGCAGAUGCUAUUCUUGUGUGAUGACCAAGAGAGAGAGGAAAAGUCUACAAAUGCAAGAGCUGAAGGAGGUUGUGGCCAGGUUUAUCCCAGCAGGUUAGACAGGGACAAGGCAUAACCCUGGGCACUGGUGUAUACCUGUCCAUUCUGUAAGCUGUUAGCACAGCUCCAGCCCCAGCUUGAGCUUCUCCAGACAGUGCCUGGGCACCAUCUGUGGAUGCACACUGGCCAGAGGCCAUCACCAGUAGUAAUUAGGCAGCAGACACCUUGUUCUGGGGAUGGGAAAGGGCUUGGCUGUCUGGAUAUGAGCAGUUGGGUAGUUGAGUAGUUGAUUCCAGUGCCAAGGGAUGGAACCAACUUGUCUUAUUUACAUGUAUGGACAAGAUGAGGGUUUUGGAAUACAGGAGCCUCAAUGGUGAGGUAGAAAAGAUGUGAAUUUUGCAAUUUCUAUUAAGCUUUCAAAUACUGCUUUCAGAUACUGUCUCUUGAAAAUCCUGUGCUUGCUGAAUUUCUAUUAUUGCUCUCACAUGGCAAGGAAGGGAAGAAACCCUUGGACGUCAGAUAGUAGACAUAAAAUAAAGUGGAAGAAAUGUUAAAUGACAGGAGGAAUUUUGUUUGGUCUACAAACUAGGAGAUUCAUAGAUCACUGAUGUUAUAAUUAGAAAGUGUGGUGUAUCUUCCUAUUUGUGAGAAGGGGAAGAAGCACAGAAGGAAAGACAGCUCAAAAAUAUGGGACUAUUAAACACAAAUAGUAUGCAACCUGAUGUGCAGUGUUUUGCUUGUCACAUAGUAGUGUCUGUGCUAUGUCUGUACACAUCUCUACUAGUGUCUGUUUUAUUAUUAGGAAUAUUAAAAGGCAUCCACUGUAGUCAAACUGGUCAUGCUUGUUGUUGAAAAAUUACUGGUUUUCUGCCCUUAAAAUUCCAGCGGAAAUUGAUCUGAUUCAAUGCUGUAAAGCUCAUCCUUCAUAAACCAGCAGUACUGCAAUCCAGCACAGAUGAAUUAUAGAUUAAAUGUAUUUUUGCCCAUUAUUUCAAUGCAUUGCCUGUACUGGGGAACCCAAAAUUGAACACAGUGCUCUAGAUGCAAUCUCACAAGUGUCAAAUAAAUGGGAAUUAAAACUUCUUUAACUUGCACAGUUGUCUCGCCAUAUUAAAUAGCCUGGUUGGUCAGCCAAGAGAUCAACAGCACUCUGCUUGUCUACACCAACAUGAUGGGUUAUCUCCAGAGGAGCUGGCAUGUCUUUGGCUAAGACACUAAGCUAAGAAAUGUGCCUGGCUUGAAAAGUAGAAGGUGGACCUUGGUCCUGCCUGUUUGUACCACACUGAUGUAUCUUCGUGUCCUGUUGAAAUGGAGUCCCAUGAGCAUAAGACACAUGGUCUAAACAAAGAAGGAGGCAACAGGGAUUAGUUUGGUAUCACAGAGGGCUUAGUGUACAGGAUGGUUCUCUCUCUGUCCUGAAUGUUCAUUGAACCUAUUUCUGUAUUCAUUCAGGUUUUUUUUAAUCUCCCGCUUUUUAAUAAAACUAGACCUGAAGAAUCGUGCAGCUUGACUGAGGUGCUGGGCUGUAGCUGAACCGCUCUGGUUAGUGGAGCUGCCUGAGUGUUUGCAGUGUUUGCAGGAUGGUAAAGUGAAGAACCAUGUGAAUAAAUGAGUAGCCCUAAAGUGCUGAAAAUAAAUGCGCUGUGAUGGAUCAAGAGGCUGGGGGAAAAAAUGCCCCCUCUCCCUGCCUGCAUCCUCUCACCCCCCAUCCCUUCAUUAUGCUCACCAGGGUGGGUGAGGGGGGUCCUUACAGGGGGAGUUACAAAGCUCCUGUCGUGUUCCCAAAUGUGCACUGAGCAACCCGAGUGCCUCCUCUCAGGCUGGGAGGUCUGAGCUCUGCCAAGAGCUUCUGGCCCCCUCUCCCAGCCUGGUGCUUUGAAAGAACAUCCUUGGCUCCAUGACACUGCAGGUCUGUUGACUGUGUUUGUGUGUUUGUGCUGGGAUGUGUGCACAACUCAAAAGCAGGUCUGAGGUUAAGUAAAGCCCCUUGCUUGGUCGGGAACCUUGAUCAACAUGUCACAGAACGUGACAACUUCCAUAAUGGUUUUUAAAAAAUGCGUACAGGGUUAGCUGCCAGCUUCCAGGGAGGGAUAUGUGUAACCACUUGAAAUAUUCAACUUCUGAGCUCUGCCAUCUUCUCCACAGCAGUUUUGAAGACUUUGAUUUCUCUAUGCCAGGCAGUUACUGUACUAUUUUUCUGACAUCUUUGAGUUUUGUGUGGCUUACUGAAGGUUUUUUUUGUGUCAGAGACUUAAUAUAGGCUUUAGUGUUCUGGUUUUUUUUUUUUUGCUAGUGUUCUAUCUGAAAAAGAAUUUUUGGGAUUUAAAAAAUUUUAUUUCUUUCUCUAUUUAUGUCUCUCUUUAUGGGCAGAUAUUUAAUACUUUUGAAAAUGUGCUCCUUUUAUCAUGUCUUAAUUCAGGCAUCUAAAACCAUGGCCCACUUUGAAUUUAGGUCAAACAGCCCUGCCAUGACAGGACACGGUUUUCUCUUGGUUGAGCACACAGCUUAACUCAGCACAGAUGAGUUUGGAGGUGAGGGUGAUAAAAAGAUACCUAGGCUGCAAGGACGUAACUAAGUUUUGUCCUACGUCAUUACUUGUAGCAUACUCUUGCGUCCCUCCAAGACAGGGGAUGUGGAUUGUGCUCUUUAUGAAAGGCCUGUAUAAGCAUUAAAUGCUGGAAAUAAAAAGAUGAUUGAGAAUGAUUUUGCAGUCAUUAUAGACUUUCAUUUCAAGAGCGAUGUGACUGCUGGGGUCAGUAAUAAUAACCAGAGUAGGCCUACAUUUCUCAUAUACUCAUAAACAAGUGAUGGAGUCUUUAUAUAAAAAGAAGAAUACUUAGGAUGCACAAAGAUUUUAUUAGAGAGGCAGAAACCCAGAAUGAUACCAUAACCUGCCCACUACCUUCUAAGGUCACAGUCACUGCUUUUGCCAAUAUUGGAGUAAUUUGCCACCAAUCUCAUUUGUUACAUACUUUUCAGUAAUGUACUUCUGCUACACAUCUUGAAAGAGUUUAGUGGUAAACUGGUUCUCCCAUCCCCUCUGGACCUCAGUGCAAAUGAGAAAUGAGAAUCAGGUGGAAGGCUUAUGAAAACAACUAUUUUUGGCUUAGCCUUGAUAGGACAACAAUUUCGUUGUUCUGCUCUGAUAUUGUCAGCGUGACUCAUCUGUAGAGGACUUUCUGGCCCAUUUUCUUUAAAAAUGUGGUCUAUCCAGAGAACUGACUGGGACUUUCUAAAACUGGAAAUACUGAAAAAGAACAGUUUGCCCGUUCGUUGAAUGUUGGUUAACCCUUUCUGUACCACCUGACCUCAAAAUGCAGAAUAUGUGCUAUCUUAUGCAGGAAGGUGCUUUCAACCAGAAGUGUGUUUUUUGGACUUUUUUCCCCUUUUUUUUCCAGGUGGAUGGGCUUUAUGGAGAGACCAGGUUUUAAGGCUGUUGUGGAGACUUAGAUCACGUAUCCUCAGAGACUGAAUAGCUGAUGGCUGCUUCAGCAUGGGAAGAAUGGUCAAGACUGGAUAAUGCCACUCUGAACCUCACCUGGCUUCUGGUGGUACCUUGCAAGCCUUGGGUUUCAGAGAAUUUUCCUGGUCUUUGAGAUUCCCAAAGCACGAGGACUGCUGCUGAGCUUUGAGGGUGCCACCCCUGACAUAAAUGUGAUGUUCAGCAAGAGCCUGGAGAUAUUUCCUCCUUUAGUCCCUUGGUGUCUAGGAUGCAGAAAUGCCACUUUUUCCCAAACUGGGAAAAUGUUUUUUUCAGUCACUCAAAUACCAGAAAACAAUGCAUUGGAGAGCAAGGGUUAGGGGGAGCUCAGUCCUGCCAUGCUCCCAGCGAGGACAUGUCCCUUUUCACUUGUGUGUUUUCUCUGAAGCUACAAACUCAGCUUGCAGUUGGAUAAGUGCUUACUUAAUGUAACACUGAAUAAUCUCUCUUUCAAGGGCUUUAAGUACUACGUUGAAUUAGGACUUUAGAAAGGUAAAAGCCAAGCUCCCUUUGCCAAGAGGAGCUUCCAUUCAUAGAGUCAGGAAGUGAUCCAACAUGGACAUCGAUGACCUGCUUUGUUAUCUGUAUGUGAAAUCUGGCUCUGCUGAAACCAGUGGCAAAACUGCCAUUGAUUUUAAGAGUUCUGAAUUUCAUUUUCAGUAUGUUUAUUUGCAUUACUUUUUUUCCUAUAAUGUUUGAUAUGUAGGCAUAGAGGUCAGGGGGAAAAUACUGAUACAAUUGAGACACACUUUCCAUUAUGGUAAGGGGUGGGCAGAUGUCACUGUGGGAAGAUACAUUCAGAGUUUUGCCUGGCACUUUGAAAUGCUUUUAAUUUUUUCCUACCUGCCAUGCUUCAGCCUUCCAGGUUAAACUUGUAUAUGAAUGGUAGGUCUUAUUAUUUUGAGUGUUCUGUGUUUUUCUUCAUUAUUUAGAUACCAAACUUGCAAAACAUUCCUCUUAGCAGGGCAAUUCAUCCUCUACUGGAUCUUAAUGAGACCAGUGCUUCCUUUCCUGGGAAAGUAUGUGCCUCUGGUGAGAGAAGCCCACCUUUCACAAACCACAGCUAAAGCUUGUUUUUUCACUGAAGCACAAAGCACACAGCCACUUGCAAAUGUCAGUUUUCUUAGCAUGAAGUAAAUAUACAUUUUGUAAAUGUGGGACAGACCUGUUUUGAUGUGGGUCUUGAACAGGGCUUCAGUAUAGAGAUAGCUCAUCUUUAAUUUAUAGUUACAUGCAAUUGAACCAUUCCAGGAAAAGCCAUCUUGUGGUUUUGGGCCAGGGAAGAAGAAGAAGGAGGAUAAAAACCUUCUGCCCUAAACAGUAACAGAUAGGACAGGCAGAACAGAUCUAUGUUCCCUAAGUGAAAACUUAGUAAAGGGCUCUUGAAAUGUUUAUUAUUACUAAAAUCACUGAGAGAUUUGUGCUGAAACUCUUUCAGGUAUCAGCCCUCUUUUCUCUGGGAAAAAAAAACACUCAUUUUUUUGUUUGCUACCUCUGUUGCCACAAGCAAAUUUAGUUAAAUUCAGCUGGCAGCCAGUCACCAGUGGUGUUCCUCAGGGCUCAGAAUCAGGGCCAGCUCUGUUUAAUCUCUUUACCAAUGAUAUUGAUAAGGGGAUCGAGGGCACCCAGACAGUUCAUGGACAACAUGGAUCUGGAUGGGACUGUUGAUCUGCCAAAGGGUAGGAGGGCUCUGCAAAGGGAUCUGAACAGGCUGGGUUGGUGGGCCAAGGCCAAUUGUAUGAGGUUCAACAAGGCCAAGUGCCAGGUCUGCACCUGGGUCACAGCAACCCCUGCAGUGAUACAGGGUGGGGGCAGAGGGUCUGGAAAGCUGCCCAGAGGGAAAGGACCUCUGAUCAGCAGUGGCUGAACAUGAGCCACAGUGUGCCCAGGUGGCCAAGAAGGCCAAUGGCACCUGGUCUGCAUCCAAAAGAGUGUGGCUAGCAGGGCCAGGGCAGUGAUUGUCCCCCUGUGCUGGGGGGACAAUCCUGUAUUCAGUUUUGGGCCCCCCACUGCAAAAAAGACACUGAGGGGCUGGAGUAUGUCCAGAGAAGGGCAGUGGAGCUCUGGAAGGGGCUGGAGCACAAGUCCUGUGAGGAGCAGCUGAAAGAGCUGGGGGUGUUAAGCCUGGAGAAAAGGAGGCUCAGGAGAGACCUUGGCACUCUCUGCAACUCUGUGCAAGGAAGUUGUAGCCAGGUGGGGGUCAGUCUCUUCUCCUAAGUAAGAAGUAAUAGGACAAGAGAAAAUGAACUCAUAUUGUGCCAGAGGAGGUUUAAAUUGAAUAUUAGGAAUAGUUUAUUAAUUUUUUCACUGAAAGGGUGUUCAAGCAUUAGAUCAGGCUGCCCAGGGAAUUAGUGAAGUCACAAUCCCUAGAGAGACUUAAAAGAUGUGUAGAUGUUGCACUUUAGGGACAUGGUUUUGUGGUGGACUUGGACGUGCUGAGUUAACAAUUGGACUCAAUGAUCUUAGAGGUCUUUUCCACCCUAAAGAAUUCUAUGAUUUUAAGAUGUAGACACAGGUUUUAAUCUGAUUAUGAGACCUGCUGCAGGAAAUUCUCUGGCCUCUCUUGUGCCCAGUUUUGACUUAGUUGAUUCAAAAUGACAUUUUUUGACCUGAAAAUUCAUCAAUCAUUUGAAUCCAGCAAAAACUUUAGUGGUGUGGUAUCUUUAUAGAGGUAGUUACAGUUUUUUAGGAAUCAAAAACAUUUUAUAAGCAGUAAUUGGUUGAUGCUUUCCUUCUACACAUAUGCAGCCACCACCAAGGAUGAGGAAUAUCUUGGGUUUUUGUAGGGGAUAUCAAUGGCAAAGAUGUAUGUAGGCAGCACAAAAUCUUUUAAAAACCUGAAUUUUAUCAUAACUUUGUAUUCAUGCUUCUAAAAGAGCUGUGGGAUUUUUUAGGGGUCUGUACCUGUUGGUCUGUAGAGCAGCAGCAGUAAUUGUAAAAUUAUAGCAUUAUUAAGGUUGGAGAAGACCCCCAAGAUCAUCAAGUCCAACCUUUCACAGAACACCACCAUGCCCAGUAAACCAUAUCAUGAUGUUCCAUGUCUACCCAGGGGUGGUAAUUCCAUCACUUCCCUGGGGAGCCUUCCAAUGCUUGACCAUCCUUUAUGUAAAGAAAUUUUUCCUAAUAUCCAACCUCACCCUCUUUUAGUGUAACUUUGGGUCAUUUCCCAACGUCCUUUUGCUAGUUUUGAUUGUUUUGGGGUUAGUGCCUCUGUACCAAGAGUGGGAACACAUUGCUGGAUUAUCAUUACCUUGGCCUGGAAUAUCUCAGUGCUCUUUGAUCAGCAUUUGGGUGAGAGAAAUUUCAUUGUAGCCCUUGUGUGGUACUGCAGGUGCCUGUGUACUGCAAACAGAGCUGCGUGUCUGGCAGCACUGCCUGUGUGCCUGUCCCUGCUCAGACCAGCUGGCUCGGGCUCCUUGCUGGAGGCUCUUACCUCAAGCAGCAGAGUUGUUCUGCACCGUGGUAUAUUCAGCCUUAACUGAUGCUCACCACAGCUUCUCCUGAAAGGAAAAUGGGCCCUUGGCUAAUCUGUCAGAAAUUGGCUUGUCCUAAAUCAUAGGAGCAAAGAAAAGCUUGUAAGGAAACCUCUGCACUAUCUCUAUCAGCCAGCCUUUCCUUAUUUCUAUUGCAUGCAGCCUUGCUUAUGUCUCUGACACUUUAAGGAAUACUCAAAUUCUGCCCUUCUUUUCUUUCUCUUCAGACCAGCUGUCCUUGGGUGUGAUCCAGACCCCAGGCAGUUUGAGGGAAGUCUUCCUAAUGCUGUUGGCUGUCUUUGGAUCUUCUCCAUCGCUUGCAUUGCUCUUCAGUAAACCAGAGGCACAUGUGUGACUUCUUCUUAGAAAGCUGAUCUCAGGAAGGUAGAAAUCAAAUCAUUCCAGUGUAGCACCUCAGUGCUCUGCUUGAAACAGAUCUGUCAGAGGGUUGCUCACCCUGAAGAAGGAGAUAACAAUGGAAGGAUUUUAUCCUGAAUAUAGUAUGGUUUCUAAUAUUUUCUAUUAAAUACAAUCCAAUAGAAAAUAUAAAAGAGAAAGGAAUCUUUUUGUGAGAGAAGAGCUUGCUCAAGCUUAAGAAGAGCUUGCUUUCUCUGCCCCACAGACAAAUUCCACAAGAUAACUACUUACACCCCUAGUUGAUAGGAUAAAAGACCUAAAAACGUAGCCAGAUCUCACAAUUUAAUAUAUGCCAACAGGGUGAAGUGGACCAAAAGUCUAAAUCAGUACUGUCAAAUAACUGUAGGAACUAAGGAAAUAGGCUUCAAACCCUUACUCCAGAAUCAGCAACAAAUGUGGAUUUUUGUUUUGGAAUCCCGUUUUUGUUUGUUGUGGUUAAGUACUAUUAUUAUUAUUAUUAUUAUUAUUAUUAUUAUUAUUACCCUUAUGACUGAGGGGGAGUCUUUUAUGGAAAUAGGAAUAUUGCUUAUUUCUGGCCUACUGGGCUGAGGUCUAAAUUAAAAGAGCAGCUGAUUUUCACAAGUCCCAAAGGGAUGGAAGAGCAUAAAGGGAAAGGGUGCUUGAUGGUGGCUUCAUGGAGAAACAGGAAAAGCACAGAGAGAGCCCCCAAGGAGCAAGAUCCAUGGUGUCUCCCCCGUGCCAGGGUUUGUGCCUGGGUCACAGUGCCAUUGUACCCCAACUUUGGAGCAAAGCAUCACUGAAGAGGACAGCAUGUGAGAGCUCCUGGCCAAGCGUGGCUGGGAAAAGGGACAGCUGCCACCAGUCGCUCCAGGUGGAUGGGAUCAGCUGCUGAGGGAGCACCUGAGCUGGAAAUGGGCAUCUCUAGAACUCCAGCUGUUCUCCAUCAGCUCUGAGCCAGGUGCACAGAGUGGUUCUGGUCCUCAGAUCAGCUGGGGCUUUCCAAGAGCCUUCACUGGAAGAGGGCAAGCUGAGAAAGCUGCAAAGUCAGCUUCUGCUUGGGCUGGGAAAGAAAAAUUCAAAAAGGGCAACAGUGUGGGCUGGGUGGCAGGUUUGAGGGGUAGAAGAUAGUGUGAUAGGGAGUGUAGCUUGGUGCUCCCCUCCUUUCCCUAAAGAAAGGGUUUCAUGUCUUUAAUUUGGUACUUUAUAAAAUGAAUCUUGCCUGUGUCAGAGGCAAUCUCAGCUGCUCUCCUCGGUGUCUGGGCUGGGACUAGUGCUGAUUUUACUGCUGCUCUUCACCAGAGACCUUUGGAGGCUAAACCUGACCCUAUGAGGCUCGGCAGAGAUGUUAUAGGUGAGUUGUGUCUCGCUUUUGAAGGCCUUGCUGGAACCUCUGGAUGCUACUGAAAUGAUUGCAUAUAACAGCAGCAAGGGCUUCUUCUCAUCUCCUUGUGCUGAGUGGGGUGUUCCCUUUUGGAGAUGGCAUCUGUGUCUGCCUGGGAGAGCAUGGAUUUAACACAGGGGAAUGACUGGAAACUGGUAACAAAUGUGUGGAUACUCCACUCCCUUUCCACAGAAAACCUGAAAUCUAAUAAAAAUGUUUAUUUAUUUA